CGCGUAGGUGGUAGUGCAAGUCUGAGGUGGAAUCCCAGGGCUUAACCCUGGAACUGCCUUGGAAACUGCACUACUUGAGUCAGUGAGGGGAGGGUAGAAUUCCUGGUGUAGCGGUGAAAUGCGUAGAUAUCAGGAGGAAGGCCGGUGGCGAAGGCGGCCCUCUGGCGCUGAACUGACACUGAGGCGCGAAAGCGUGGGUAGCAAACAGGAUUAGAUACCCUGGUAGUCCACGCCCUAAACGGUGGGUACUAGGUGUAGGGCUCGUAAGGGUUCUGUGCCGAAGCGAAAGCAUUAAGUACCCCGCCUGGGGAGUACGGCCGCAGGGUUGAA
rnacentral:rRNA from 1 species